GUAGUGCCAACUACUUACUGGACAGAGAGCCCUAACUUGGCUGAAAUAGUGGCACCUAAUAUGAGAAGUCAUUUAAAGGUAUUGAAGGCUUCCUUCUCCAGAACAGUUCCAUGGCAUGGGGCGAUAAAAAAUUUGCGUCCCUGUGUACCCCUGCUUCUGGUGUUCAUACCCCCUGGAGUAAAUGUACACUAGUUGAGAAGCCAGGUAUUCUAAUUAG